rnacentral:lncRNA from 1 species
UUCACAGUCAUGACUCAAGGACACACGGGAUUUCCCCAGACGGCGGUCUCAUGAUCGGCUCCUCGUUGGGAGGUGCUUGUUGCCUCUGGGAUUUUGCUACAAAGAAUUAAACGUCUUUCUGCGUCCGGCCUGGGCAGGGACUCUGGUCAUUUCCUAGGAUGGCUUCCUAAGGUGGAAUUGCUGGGCCGCAGAGCAUGCGUUUACCCCAAAGGCUGACGCGGUGCUGUGUCAGGACAGUCAACCGCCAGCGUUGAAUCAGGGAGCCGACACCGACGCGUUGUGAUGCAUCUGGUUAACCUCAGCUCCAGCCCCAGUGGGCUCUGCCGUGUGUCCUGACACUGUCUAUACCAGCGCAGGGCCCAGUUCAGAGGCACGUGCCCCUGGUCUGUUGGCUCCUGAGUCUUGUCUUGCGGCCUGUGAUCCCAGAACAUGAGGAGAUUACGGAUCAAGGUUGGCCCUGAACUUGUUUAGGAAGAGAAUGAAGGUAGCAGAGGAAGCAGAACGGGGGCCAUCUCGACGGCGUUCGUCAGUUAGCGCCUGCAGGAAAUCUGCCCAUGGUCCACCACCAAAGAGCUUGGAAACGCCUCAUUCUCAACGUCACAUUGGUCUGUGCUCUUCUGCUGACACAGAUGGCGAUUCUCGGGCUGCACCAGCUCCUCGCAGGCUUGAGCUUCACGCUGUGGUUGACCAUCUGACACAGACGGCGAUUCUCGGGCUGCACCAGCUCCUCGCAGGCUUGAGCUUCACGCUGUGGUUGACCAUCUGGUGCAGCAGCUCGGUCCUCGAUAGCCGUCUCUCAAACACUGUGGUUCUUCGCGUUGACUUGCGCUUCCAGACAAGCUCUGCGUCACAUCGGCAGGUUUAAGAGCCGCACGUGACUUUGCUCUGACUUACGCUCAGUCUUUAAACCUGAGAGUUCUCUCUCUGUCCCGUCGUUGCCUCCAGGUGACGUGUCUCCUUCGUGAGCUUCUCCAUGUCAAGCCUCUGCCUUUCCGGGAAACGUUCUCAUUCUACCACUGAUUUCCCGCCGCUCUCUCAAUGUCCCAGGACCUUUGCUCGCCUGCCGUGCUGCACGUCCGCUUGGGUCUGGCAGGAGACGUCCUGAUAGGAAGGGCCACCACGGCGCCCUGGGGAAAGACUCCUGGAGGCUCUCGGGCAGCCCUGCCUGAGGUCACUUGGCGGGCAGGAGUCCUGGUCCUCGUCCCGCCCGCUCCCGUGCCCCACACUUGCCAGAAACGCCCGUGUGGUCCCACGGUUACUCACCCUUGCCCCAGCGCCCUGUGCUGUGGCAUCUGUGUCUCUUUCCUUUGGCUUUGUUUGUUUGCUCUUUACACAUUUUCUAACUUUCCAGUGUUUCAGUGAGAGGAAGGGCAGGGACAGCACUGAACGCCACCAGCCCAGGUCAUCUCUCACAGCGCAGCCUUAAAAAGAGCCAAGGGCACCCCUACCAUGUCUCAAUGGCGUUCACUCACUUAAGGAGCAAAUGAAGGCCAAGCUCCAUCUUCCCACGUCCUGCGAAGGCUGAGAGUGACUGUAGCCUCUCCACCACAGAGGCCGGGCUCCUAUGGUCAGCCGUGGCCCUGGGACACCUCCCCCUGCUCAGGCAACGGGCAUGGAGACCUGGGAAAAUCCCUCUCCCCAUGACCUGGGUCAAGAAGCCCCAGGGCCCCUUGGGAGCUGGCUCCGCCCUGUGUCCCCAGUGAUAUGCGUCUGGGGCUUCCUGCCGG